rnacentral:lncRNA from 1 species
UUAUAAGGAAGGCGUCGGUCCUCCAUUUCAGCCUUUCUCUCUACCAGGACGUGGCCGUGGCAUUUCUGGUCUUGUAAAGACCGGACUCUUUGGAGCCC